rnacentral:rRNA from 1 species
AACGAACGCUGGCGGCAUGCCUAACACAUGCAAGUCGAACGAGACCUUCGGGUCUAGUGGCGCACGGGUGCGUAACGCGUGGGAACCUGCCCUUAGGUUCGGAAUAACUCCCCGAAAGGGGUGCUAAUACCGGAUAAUGUCUUCGGACCAAAGAUUUAUCGCCUUUGGAUGGGCCCGCGUUGGAUUAGCUAGUUGGUAGGGUAAAAGCCUACCAAGGCGACGAUCCAUAGCUGGUCUGAGAGGAUGAUCAGCCACACUGGGACUGAGACACGGCCCAGACUCCUACGGGAAGCAGCAGUGGGGAAUAUUGGACAAUGGGCGAAAGCCUGAUCCAGCAAUGCCGCGUGAGUGACGAAGGCCUUAGGGUUGUAAAGCUCUUUUACCCGGGAUGAUAAUGACAGUACCGGGAGAAUAAGCUCCGGCUAACUCCGUG